AGGGGCCUCUCCAUCCCCACUCUUUCUCUCUGCAGUGUGCGAUCAGUGAUCAGUCCAUCCAGGUGACCCAUGAAAAGAGCUUGUCUCAUGAUGAGCCCGUUUGUGAGAUGGAGAUCAGAGAUGGAAUUAGAUAUGAAUAUGUAUUAUGAGGAUGAUGAAGAGGAAAUCAAUGAGGAUGGAAUGGCAGAUCAGUCAGAGUCGGAGGACCCGGUUGAAGAUUUUCGAAUUUUUGGGAGUCAGGAACUGAUAGAAGAACAGUUCGAGAUGAUUUUCCAUUCAGACUGGUGUCAAAGUCGAGCAAAUAGGGAAACAAGUCCGUGCACAUUACCGUAUUGCGCGGUGGUGGACAACUUAGUCAGCCACAUGAAGAAAUGUGAGGUUGGCAAGUCCUGCACCAUGCCCUUCUGCUCGACUUCUCUCCAAGUAAUAAUGCAUACUCAUAAGUGCAAUCCUUUUAAUUGUUCUCUCUGUUAUUACUUUCUAAUGAGAAAACCUAAGGAUAUAACCCCCAUCGAGGAUGACCACGCUCAGCCACAGUCGGAGAACUUGGAUGAAGACCAACUCAUCCCCGAUGAGAAUGAGAAACUGAUACAACAACAGUUGGUGCUGCUUCUCCAUGUAAUCGACUGUCAAUUGUCAGAGACUCAGUGCACAGUGCCAUAUUGCACGAUAAUGAUGGACAUAUUCAACCACAUGACGACAUGUCGGGCUGGCAAGUCCUGCUCCGAGCCUCACUGCUUGUGUUCUAACCAAAUACUCUUUCAUUGGGAACACUGUAAGCUUUCUCCUCGUUGUCCUAUUUGCGACCCUAUCAGGAAAGCCUACAAGAAUGCGAGUGAUUCUAAUGAGUUUUUGGAUUUCUUUGAAGAAAUAACACUUCAGGCGUUCCCGUCUUCCUGUGACAUACUACGUGCAUUUGAAGCUCUUGGUAUUUAGUGACCACCCAUCACCGGCCAGCUGAUAGCACCUGGAGCUGCUCAAGUGAGGUCGGGACUACUGGUACCUACCCAAGUGCUGUUCUGGCUUCCCAACAACCCAAUUCUCAAACUGAUCCUGAACAUUUCCCAUCAGAUAACAACUUUGAGGGCUGUCAUUGUCAAUCUGAUUCAGACAAUGAAAUAGAUGUGAAAUGAUAUCGAGCCACGUGGACAGUAAGCUGUAAAUAACAUUAGUUAAUUUCAAAAAGUAGUUAUUAAAGUACAAAAUAUACAACUGAGAUGCAAAUGUAGAAAACAAGUUGUUAGUCAUAUAUGACUGAUAUGGCAUUUUAUAAAAAACAAGAAAUUGUAUAUGGCACAGGUAAUAUAUUUUGGAGAUGGCCUGUAUGAAAAAUUGCUGAUGACUGACAUGGCGUUUAAGUGUUUUAUACAUACAUACAUAUAAUAUAUAUAUAUAUAUUUAUUAUAUGAGCUUAGUUUAUAAAUAUUGAAACCGUUGUUUCAAAGUGUAAUCACAUUCUAAAAUAUUGACGCUACAAUGUUAAAAUUGCAUUUAAUUUAGUAAAAGAUUUUGUGAGUGUAUAUACAUACGCACACACACACACACUUAUACACACACUUAUACGCACAUUUAUACACUUUUCUAAGUACACCAUUGAGGCCUGCAACACAAAUUUCCACUAACUGGCCUUCCUCUUGAAAUUCACAGUAGUAUUACAGGUUUAUCCAUAAAAAUUAACUAAUCUAGUUUUGAAUUCAUACAAGACUCUUGCCCAGCAACUUAAGCUGCUACAUUUGGAGAUUUCAAAUAAGUAUCAAGAUGCAAUUUAUAACCUUAACAUAAUAUCAAACUCACUGAAAUUUAUAUCUAUAAAAUUCCAAUUGUUACUUCUCAAGCUGUCAACUCUGCAAGCGAAUUCUAAAAACUAUUGUAAUUCAGCUGAUGGAUACCAAAAUAAUAGUUCAAUUUCACAUCAUUUUUGGGCUGGUAGUAGUUCAAUUUCUGAUAAAAAUAACCUAUCUCAACUCUCCAUAAUCAAUUCAAAUGUUAAUCCUUGUAUUCAACAACAAACCUUUCUGCAAUCUAUCAAAUUCCUCAUUUCCUAAUACCUUACAUACUAUUAAAAACGUAUCUGAAAAUGAAUUUAGAGCAAUUAAAUCACUACAUGAAAACAAAGACAAAAGUAAUAACAUCAAAUGUAACUUGUGCAAUUCUUGUAACAAGCCAAGCUGUGGCAUUUGUAAAAUGUGAAUAAAUUCCAAGUCUUUAAAAGUAGUACAACUGGAAAAGAUUAUCCUAUUAAAUGUAACAUAAUUUAUCAACUAACGUGUAAAUUCUGUCCCAAAGAUUAUAUUGGAAAAACCAUCACUGAUAAUGACCAAUUAUCAGUUUGAUGAUUAUUUCUGCUCAUGCGAUUUAACACAAAGUAUAUUAGAAAAUUGCAUCAAUCUAGGAGUAAUUUACCAUUAGAGCCAAAUCCUAACCAAAAUACUAAUCUGAUCAAUUUAAGAAAUGUUGAAAUCGCAAAUCAAUUUUAAAAUGAAGGCAACCAGAUGGGUUGAACCUAAGGUGAUUCUCUUUUUCCUUCUUUUAUAUACAUUUUUAGUUCUAUGUAAACAUUCUAAAAAAUUCUACAUACAGCUGAUUGGAGUCUUGUUGUUUAUGGUAUUUAUUUGUAAAAAUUCUUUUUUGGUUACGUUUUUAUUCUUGGUUUGGGUUCUUUUUGUUUGUUUCAUUAAAUCAGUGGAGUUCUGGGAACUUUAAAAUUAGAAUAUGAACACUGGUUUUUUCUGUUUUUGAUAAACUUUGAACUACUUGGAAGUAUUGAAGCCGAUUAGUAUUACAGAAGAUCUAUAAGCCUGCUGGUAUUGUGCUUUUGUUUUUAUCUCCUUGUGAACAAUGAAUAGAAACUCCAGCCAUUUCAAUUUUGUAGAUAAAUCUUCUUUUCAGAAAAAAUUUAGAUAUCACACCAACAACAUUGCCAAGUUAAAUUGUAACAUCAUGUUUUUGACAGCUUGUUUAUCCAUAAGUCAGAUUUAAAGAAAAUAUAUAUUUUUAUUGUAGUAUAUUUUAUUAUAGUACAUUAUAUUAUUUUGUAUACAGUAAUAUAGUACAAUAAUGUAAAACAAAUAUAUUGUUAUUUAGUUUAAUAAAUGUAAGCAAAAUCAUUUAUACUUUAGUAAAGUUGAUGAAUGUAUGAAAAUUUAGCGUAAUCAUAUUAAAUAUAUUCAUUCAUUUAAUAAUUAAAAAUAAAGAGGUUUCUAUGGGGAAA
rnacentral:misc_RNA from 1 species